rnacentral:rRNA from 1 species
CAGCAGCCGCGGUAAUACGUAGGUGGCAAGCGUUGUCCGGGAUUAUUGGGCGUAAAGCGCGCGCAGGUGGUUUAAUAAGUCUGAUGUGAAAGCCCACGGCUCAACCGUGGAGGGUCAUUGGAGACUGUUAAACUUGAGUGCAGGAGAGAAAAGUGGAAUUCCUAGUGUAGCGGUGAAAUGCGUAGAGAUUAGGAGGAACACCAGUGGCGAAGGCGGCUUUUUGGCCUGUAACUGACACUGAGGCGCGAAAGCGUGGGGAGCAAACAGGAUUAGAUACCCCUGUAGUCCCUGUCUCUUAUAC